rnacentral:rRNA from 1 species
AACGCUAGCUACAGGCUUAACACAUGCAAGUCGAGGGGCAGCGGGAGAAAAGCUUGCUUUUCUUGCCGGCGACCGGCGCACGGGUGAGUAACGCGUAUCCAACCUACCCUCCAGCAGGGGAUAGCCCGUAGAAAUGCGGAUUAAUACCCUAUGCGGUCGUUUUGUGGCAUCAUGUUACGACCAAAGACUCGUCGCUGGCGGAUGGGGAUGCGUAUGAUUAGGUAGUAGGCGGGGUAACGGCCCACCUAGCCAUCGAUCAUUAGGGGUUCUGAGAGGAAGGUCCCCCACACUGGUACUGAGACACGGACCAGACUCCUACGGGAGGCAGCAGUGAGGAAUAUUGGUCAAUGGGCGGAAGCCUGAACCAGCCAAGUAGCGUGCAGGAUGACGGCCCUACGGGUUGUAAACUGCUUUUAUGCGGGGAUAAAUGACGGCACGCGUGCCGUUUUGCAGGUACCGCAUGAAUAAGGACCGGCUAAUUCCGUGCCAGCAGCCGCGGUAAUACGGAAGGUCCGGGCGUUAUCCGGAUUUAUUGGGUUUAAAGGGAGCGUAGGCCGUCGUUUAAGCGUGUUGUGAAAUGCCGCGGCUCAACCGUGGCACUGCAGCGCGAACUGGAUGACUUGAGUGCGCUGGAGGUAGGCGGAAUUCGUGGUGUAGCGGUGAAAUGCUUAGAUAUCACGAAGAACUCCGAUUG